GGUGACUUCUUCUUCUUUGACGUUUUAUGGCGGUUGGCAAACCAGCUUUAGGUGCAUUUACCGCCAGCUACUAGGAUGGAGUGUGGAGCAUUGACGGUAAUGAAAACAAACAAAAAAAACAGGUUUAAUGCUCAUCAUGUCAAAGUCGGCACAGAGCGAGCAUUCGGCAUCAUGAAGGCCAGGUGGAGGGCCAUCUUCUUCCACGCCCUGGAGGUCGACACGUCAUUCGUUCCAGAUGUUGUGAUGGCAUGCACCAUACUGCAUAACAUCUUUGACAUUAUGUUAUUAUUUUUCUAUAUUCUUGUUCAACACAUUCAAUACUAACAUCACAGGUCAAUGUAGAAUAAACAGUAUUUAUAAAA